CCCAAAGACAAGGUGCUUAAUUAAGUUUUUUUUUUUUUUUUUUUUUUAAACAGCAAGCUGGAACAACAGAAGCUAAACAAACACCAUUCUUCAGAGGCUGGAGAAAGCUUCCAGAGGUGACGCAGCCAUAUGCCAGGAGGGGAUGGAGAGAAUCAGGAGACAGAAUCAGGCUUACGGAAGCCAGACGGAGUGUCUCAGUGAUAAAGCUGGCCUCAAAGGAGAGGAAGGGCUGACCCGGCUCCCUUCCCCAGGCAACUUACUGCCGAGGAGGCCUCGCUGAAACGGCUCUCCACUCCCGCUGGCCUGCAGCCAGCCAAGCGGCGGGAGGAACAGCGUCGGCAAGCUGCAUCCCGAAGAUAGCCCGCUCCCGGACUAGGAAAAUAAGCACACUCCGAGUUAUCUGCCUCGAGCUAGCAGCAGGCCGCCCGUCCGUUAUGUGAAACGGGCGGGACUGAGGCAGGGAAGUGUUUUAAAUAUCUUGUUUUGUUUUGUUAUUUUUUGGCCAAUUGGAACCGAGGCCGGCUUCAGGCACGGUGACAGAAGGGCUCACCUUCAGAGCAUGGAACUGACCGAGUCAUGUUACAGCCACAAAGACGUAAUUAGGACUUGUCCCUACCUUGGAGAAGAGGUGCCCUCCAGAAGGCUUUUUUUUUUUUUUUUUUAAACUUCUUCCUAGGAGGGGCUGGUUGGUAGGAUCCAAAAAAUGGAGGGAGGCGGAAAGGGCAGGUGGAGGGGAGGGGAGGGGUGCGGGGUACAUGGCCAUCAGGCAGAUGGCCGCGGUGUGGGUGCGGAGAGACUUAAGGGAUGCAGGAAGAAAAGGAGAAUCAGAAGGAUGAUGAUUCUGGACCUCCCCUGACCUGCUCUUUUUGUCCCCAGCAAUUACCGUUAUGGAAAGAGGAGCACGUGUUUAUUUCCUGUUUGUUUCUUUGUCCCACUAGACCAGUGGCAAUGUCAGGAGACAUUUUAGGCUGUCCCAUCUGGAGGAAGGGGACUGCUACUACGAUCUAGAGGGUCCUAAACACUCUACCACACACAGGACAGCUCCCCCCCCACCCCCCACAACAGAGAACUAGCCAGCCCUGAGUAUCCCUAACGCCAAGGCUAAGAAAGCCUGCUGUAAACCGAGAGCUUUAGGAAGGGAGAGCCUGGUGUGAAAUUCUUCACCUUUGUGCCCUACAAGUGGCAGAGCUCAAUUAAACGCCACCUCCCACCUGGA